GCGGCGGGCUUAACACAUGCAAGUCGAAGGAGAACCUUACUUUCGAGUGAGGGGAGACUGGCGCACGGGUGAGUAACGCGUAGGCAAUCUGCCCAUAGCAGGGGGAUAACAUCGGGAAACCGGUGCUAAUACCGCAUAAUGCAGCGGGGCCGCAUGGCCACAGUUGUUAAAGGUUUCGACCGGCUAUGGAUGAGCCUGCGUGCCAUUAGUUAGUUGGUAGGGUAAUGGCCUACCAAGGCGAUGAUGGCUAGGGGGUCUGAGAGGAUGAUCCCCCACACUGGAACUGAGACACGGUCCAGACUCCUACGGGAGGCAGCAGUGAGGAAUCUUGCGCAAUGGAGGAAACUCUGACGCAGCCACGCCGCGUGCCGGAAGACGGCCCUAUGGGUUGUAAACGGCUUUUGUUCGGGAAGAAAGUACGGGUUUUGAUCUGUAUUGACGGUACCGAUUGAAUAAGCACCGGCUAACUCCGUGCCAGCAGCCGCGGUAAUACGGAGGGUGCAAGCGUUGUCCGGAAUCAUUGGGUGUAAAGGGUGCGUAGGCUGGUGUCUAAGUCUGGGGUGAAAUUUUGCCGCUUAACGGUAACAUGGCCUUGGAUACUGGAUGCCUUGAAUCUGACAGAGGUCGGUGGAAUUCGUAGUGUAGCGGUGAAAUGCAUAGAUAUUACGAAGAACACCAGUGGCGAAGGCGGCCGGCUGGGUCAGUAUUGACGCUGAGGCACGAGAGCGUGGGGAGCGAACAGGGAUUAGAUACCCUGGUAGUCCACGCUGUAAACGAUGUAUGCUAGUUGUUGGGCCUUUGGGUUCAGUGAC
rnacentral:rRNA from 1 species